UUGAUGGGUUAGUUUUCAACCUUAUUCGGAUCGGGUCCAACUUAAUUUAUGGGUUAGUUUUCAACUUUAUCCGUGCCGGAUUCAUAUCAUUUUUGUAUAACACACUAAUUUCAUGUUAUAUAUGUUUUCUCUUUUUUGAGAAAUUCAUGUUAUGUUAUGUUGGAUCACAUCUUUUUUGUAAAGGUUAAAUAUAAAUUUUACGUAAUACUCCCACAUCUAUCACCCUCCCCUGCCUUUCUCACUCUCUCUCUUUCACUUACGGUAGAAUUUUCUAUAUAGGGCUAAGCGUAGAGAAGGAGCGGUGCGCACGGGACGCGGAGGGGGGGCGCACGGGGUGCUGGAGAGGGGCGGCGGCGGUGCUGCUGGAUAGAGGGAAUUAGAGUUUGGGGGCUGGGGGAGGGGAGUCGACGGGUUUGGAGGGAGAGUGGGGAAUUUUUUUUUUAUUUUUCUUUAAAAAUUAUUAAGUAUAAUUGUAUAUUUACCUCUAAAAAUGUUAAUUUUUUUAUUUUUCAUCUUCAUGAAUAUUAUUAUUUUUUUUAAUAAAUGAGAAUGUAUAAUUUGACCUAUUAACUCUAUAAUUAAAUAAAUAAUACUAAUAUACCUAAUGUAAUUUAUUUUAGCUAAUAUAAAG
rnacentral:lncRNA from 1 species